rnacentral:rRNA from 1 species
ACGAACGCUGGCGGCGUGCUUAACCCCUUCCAGUCGCACGAAGAGCGCUGGAAGCUUGCUUCUAUCAAUCUUAGUGGCGAACGGGUGAGUAACGCGUAAUCAACCUGCCCUUCAGAGGGGGACAACAGUUGGAAACGACUGCUAAUGCCGCAUACGAUCUGACCUCGGCAUCGAGGAUAGAUGAAAGGUGGCCUCUAUUUAUAAGCUAUCACUGAAGGAGGGGAUUGCGUCUGAUUAGCUAGUUGGAGGGGUAACGGCCCACCAAGGCGAUGAUCAGUAGCCGGACUGCGAGGAUGGACGGCCACAUUGGGACUGAGACACGGCCCAGACUCCUUCGGGAGGCAGCAGUGGGGAAUCUUCCGCAAUGGACGAAAGUCUGACGGAGCAACGCCGCGUGAGUGAUGACGGCCUUCGGGUUGUAAAGCUCUGUUAAUCGGGACGAAAGGCCUUCUUGCGAAUAGUUAGAAGGAUUGACGGUACCGGAAUAGAAAGCCACGGCUAACUACGUG